UACGUAGGGUGCGAGCGUUAAUCGGAAUUACUGGGCGUAAAGCGUGCGCAGGCGGCUUUGCAAGACAGAUGUGAAAUCCCCGGGCUCAACCUGGGAACUGCAUUUGUGACUGCAAGGCUAGAGUACCGCAGAGGGGGAUGGAAUUCCGCGUGUAGCAGUGAAAUGCGUAGAUAUGCGGAGGAACACCAAUGGCGAAGGCAAUCCCCUGGGCCUGUACUGACGCUCAUGCACGAAAGCGUGGGGAGCAAACAGG
rnacentral:rRNA from 1 species